AUGCAGUCGAACGAAGUAGCAAUACUUAGUGGCAGACGGGUGAGUAACAUGUAGGUAUCUACCCUUUGGCCUGGAAUAACACGAGGAAACUUGUGCUAAUACCGGAUAAGUCUUUACGGAGAAAGCUUUAUGCACCAUUGGAUGAGCCUGCACUAGAUUAGUUUGUUGGUGGGGUAAUGGCCUACCAAGACUGUGAUCUAUAGCUGAUUUGAGAGGAUGAUCAGCCACAUUGGGACUGAGACACGGCCCAAACUCCUACGGGAGGCAGCAGUAGGGAAUAUUGCACAAUGGAGGAAACUCUGAUGCAGCGAUGCCGCGUGAGUGAAGAAGGCCUUUGGGUUGUAAAGCUCUUUCGUCGGGGAAGAAAAUGACUGUACCCGAAUAAGAAGGUCCGGCUAACUUCGUGCCAGCAGCCGCGGUAAUACGAAGGGACCUAGCGUAGUUCGGAAUUACUGGGCUUAAAGAGUUCGUAGGUGGUUAAAAAAGUUGGUGGUGAAAUCCCAGAGCUUAACUCUGGAACUGCCAUCAAAACUUUUUAGCUAGAGUAUGAUAGAGGAAAGCAGAAUUUCUAGUGUAGAGGUGAAAUUCGUAGAUAUUAGAAAGAAUACCAAUUGCGAAGGCAGCUUUCUGGAUCAUUACUGACACUGAGGAACGAAAGCAUGGGUAGCGAAGAGGAUUAGAUACCCUCGUAGUCCAUGCCGUAAACGAUGUGUGUUAGACGUUGGAAAUUUAUUUUCAGUGUCGCAGCGAAAGCAAUAAACACACCGCCUGGGGAGUACGACCGCAAGGUUAAAACUCAAAUGAAUUGACGGGGACCCGCACAAGUAGUGGAGCAUGUGGUUUAAUUCGAAGAUACGCGCAGAACCUUACCAACACUUGACAUGUUCGUCGCGACUCUAAGAGAUUAGAGUUUUCGGUUCGGCCGGACGAAACACAGUGCUGCAUGGCUGUCGUCAGCUCGUGUCGUGAGAUGUUGGGUUAAGUCCCGCAACGAGCGCAACCCUCACUUUUAGUUGCCAUC
rnacentral:rRNA from 1 species